AUUGAACGCUGGCGGCAGGCCCAACACAUGCAAGUCGAGCGGAUGAGAGGAGCUUGCUUCUCGAUUCAGCGGCGGACGGGUGAGUAAUGCCUAGGAAUCUGCCUGGUAGUGGGGGACAACGUUUCGAAAGGAACGCUAAUACCGCAUACGUCCUACGGGAGAAAGCAGGGGACCUUCGGGCCUUGCGCUAUCAGAUGAGCCUAGGUCGGAUUAGCUAGUUGGUGAGGUAAUGGCUCACCAAGGCGACGAUCCGUAACUGGUCUGAGAGGAUGAUCAGUCACACUGGAACUGAGACACGGUCCAGACUCCUACGGGAGGCAGCAGUGGGGAAUGUUGGACAAUGGGCGAAAGCCUGAUUCAGCCAUGCCGCGUGUGUGGAGAAGGUCUUCGGAUUGUAAAGCACUUUAAGUUGGGAGGAAGGGUUGUAGAUUAAUACUCUGCAAUUUUGACGUUACCGACAGAAUAAGCACCGGCUAACUCUGUGCCAGCCGCCGCCGUAAGAC
rnacentral:rRNA from 1 species